rnacentral:ribozyme from 1 species
AUACGACACACUAUAGGGAGUUUUUUUUUUUUUUUUCUUUUUUUUUUUUUUUUUUUUU